CUCUCUACAGAGGUAUGACGCUCUUCCGUUCCUCCAUUUUCUUUUAUUCACUUCUUCUUCACCGACGCUCACCUUCUUCGUCAUUGAAGGUCCGGCUCUUCUUCACCGACGCUCUUCAUUUUCGCCAUUGAAGCUCGUCAUUGAAGCUGGCUCUUCUUCAACGACGCUCAACAAAGCUCCGGAUCCUAGAGUUAUCAAGCUUGUUUGGAGAUUCUACCCUACCACAAGAGCUAUAAGCAAUGGGCAAGACUAGAGAAGGGAAGGCCAAGCAUUUCGGAUGGUUGGGUCCUAUG